rnacentral:tRNA from 1 species
GCCACUGUGGCACAGUGGUUUAAGUGUUGGACUAUGACUCUAGAGACCAGGGUUUGAUUCCUAGCUUGGCC